UUCCGGUUGAUCCCGCCGGAGGUUACUGCUAUCGAGGUUCGACUAAGCCAUGCAAGUCGAAUGUAGCAAUACAUGGCGUACUGCUCAGUAACACGUGGACAACCUACCCUUAGGAUGGGGAUAAACCCGGGAAACUGGGUAUAAUACCCAAUAGAUCUGGUCUGCUGGAAUGCUUCCAGAUUUAAAACUCCGGUGCCUAAGGAUGGGUCUGCGGCCUAUCAGGUUGUAGUGGGUGUAGUGUACCUACUAGCCUACGACGGGUACGGGUUGUGAGAGCAAGAGCCCGGAGAUGGAUUCUGAGACACGAAUCCAGGCCCCACGGGGUGCAGCAGGCGCGAAAACUUUACAAUGCCGGCAACGGCGAUAAGGGGACCUCGAGUGCCAGGUUGCAAAUCUGGCUGUCGCGAUGCCUAAAAAGCAUUGCAUAGCAAGGGCCGGGCAAGACCGGUGCCAGCCGCCGCGGUAACACCGGCGGCUCGAGUGGUAACCGUUAUUAUUGGGUCUAAAGGGUCUGUAGCCGGCCGGGUAAGUCUCUUGGGAAAUCCAGCAUCUCAACUGUUGGGCUUUCAGGAGAUACUGCCUGGCUCGAGGCCGGGAGAGGUGAGAGGUACUUCAGGGGUAGGGGUGAAAUCUUGUAAUCCUUGAAGGACCACCAGUGGCGAAGGCGUCUCACCGGAACGGACCUGACGGCAAGGGACGAAAGCUAUGGGCACGAACCGGAUUAGAUACCCGGGUAGUCCUAGCCGUAAACGAUACUCGCUAGGUGUCGGCCACGGUGCGACCGUGGUCGGUGCCGUAGGGAAGCCGUGAAGCGAGCCACCUGGGAAGUACGGCCGCAAGGCUGAAACUGAAAGGAAUUGGCGGGA
rnacentral:rRNA from 1 species